rnacentral:snRNA from 1 species
NNNGAUACAGAGAAGAUUAGCAUGGCCCCUGCACAAGGAUGACACGCAAAUUCCUGAAGUGUUCCAUAUUUUA